UAUAGACCCCAUACAGAAAAAAACAAACAAACAAACAAACAAACAAACAAACAACACCCCCCCCCCCAAUUCAAUUAAUUUUAAAGGGGAAAGACCCCCUACAAUUGCUUUUUAAAGCAAUUGAUUUAUAUUGUAAAAAACCUUUUUAACCAUUCUGUUCCGUUAAUAAAAAAAAAAAAAAAAAAUCUCCCCGAGACCCCCUUUUGCCCCCCCCCCUUUUUUUUUAACCCUCCACUUACAACUGAAUGUAGGUUGUGUACUAUCUAUCCUAUCAACGUAAAACGAACGACAACUCCAGUUUUUUCCAUAUUAUUAGGUCUUUCCACUUUUCUGUGGAAAGCCUAUUGUAUUUGUUCUGAUUAUUAGGUCUUUCCACUUUUCUGUGGAAAGCCUAUUGUAUUUGUUCUGAUUAUUAUUAUUAUUUUUUUUUUUUUUUCCGCCAAAUUUUGUUCUUGCGAUAAAUGUUUGUUUCGCAAUAUGUCGCUUAGAUUUUUUUCAUAUUGUAUCGUAUAGUUUAUGCGCUUUUAAAUUUCACCCUGCUAAGCCGAACCAUUUUCUUUGUAAGAGUUAUCUCCCUAUUCACUGUUUGUCAUGUGUGUGCAUCUCCUUCGUAACAAAAUAAGAAAGCGACAAAAUUCUUUUUACAAAUUGUUCGUUACAUCCUCAGGAAUUUUUGGCUAAUUUGGAUCGAAGCGAUUCGAUGAAAUUUUAUAGGAGUUAUGUACCUUUACGGAAUAAAUUUGUCGGUAUGUUUUUUUAACUCAUAAACCGUUAACCGUAUAACCCUGGAAUGUUUUUAUUUGAGUCCCCUGGGUCCUAACUUAGAAAAUUAGGUCAAGGUCAAAGGUCAAGGUCAUAUUUUAGAUUUUCAUAUGUCUUUGAUUUCCCUAUAAUUCUUGAAUGGUUAUAGAUACAGAAAAUUUAAGCAGUGAAAAAUGUUCAGUACUUCAAGGGGCAACUUUGUUACAUUAUGACUGUAUUGGUUUUACCAUUAUGUAAGGGACAUAACCCCCAUUGAUGGUUUAUAAAAAGCCAUUAUUAGGCAAAACUCUUAAACAAAAGGUCCUUGACCCAUAGGGUCUUUUGCAAUGACAUUGUGAAGCAAUGACCUUGACAAAGGUCACAAGGUCAAAGGUCAAGGUCAUGUACAUAUGUGAUUUGGGGCACGACUUGAAGAAUUUUAUGUGUGUUUGCCAACCAACCAACCAACCAACCAAUCAUGAUCAAUCAAUAAUGAUCAAUCAACAAAUCAUGAUCAUGAUCAAUCAACCAAUCAUGAUCAUGAUUAAUCAAUCAAUCAAUCAUGUUUCCGUCUCAUGUGUUUAAUAUAGGGUUCAAGAUCUCCUUUGUUUCUUUUUCGCUGUUUCAAUUGACCCUUUCCAACGUGUUUAACCAACCAACCAACCAACCAACCAACCAACCAAUCAAUCAAUCAAUCAAUCAAUCAAUCAAUCAAUCAAUCAAUCAUCAAUCAAUCAAUCAAUCAUGUUUCCGUCUCGUGUGUUUAAUAUAGGGUCCAAGAUCUUCUUUGUUUCUUUUUCGCUGUUUCAAUUGACCCUAUCCAACGUGUUUAACCAACCAACCAACCAACCAACCAACCAACCAACCAAUCAAUCAAUCAAUCAAUCAUGAUCAUGAUCAAUCAAUCAUGUUUCCGUCUCGUGUGUUUAAUAUAGGGUCCAAGAUCUUCUUUGUUUCUUUUUCGCUGUUUCAAUUGGCCCUAUCCAACGUGUUUUAACCAACCAACCAACCAACCAACCAACCAACCAAUCAAUCAAUCAAUCAAUCAAUCAAUCAAUCAUGAUCAUGAUCAAUCAAUCAUCAAGAAUCAAUCAAUCAUGAUCAUGAUCAAUCAAUCAUGUUUCAUGAAAAAUUGAAAUUUAAUAUUGUUCUUGCGUCACUUCUGAAAAAAAAAAUCCACAUGUACUCUGAAACUACAAGUACAAUCGACCUCAAAAUUUGCAGUCAGCAGGGCAUACAUGUACUAAAAGUUUCAUAAAAAAACUUGGUGCAGAUAUCUCUCAAGACUUUUCCUAGAGAAAAAAAAUUGGCAAUGCCGUAAAAAUCGCUUGCUAGGUCCGUAAAUCUCAGUAAAAGCCUACAAUAAAAUGUCCGCUCCGAGAUUGAAAUACUAAUCUGUGUUACAAACAGGUGCUGAAAAAUGUACAUUAUCAGAAAAUAAUCAAUAAAUGUGUUUUAAAGUUACACCGGAUCAAAUUAAAUCCAAAACAUGCACUGCUUGUGAACUGUCAUCAAAAUGUCAAUUUCCUACAAUGACAAAAGAAAUUACAUUGUGUGCAUUCCGUCUCUAUACAUGUUGUCUGUUCAAAGUCCCCACCUAAAAAGGAAUAAAAAGACUAUCUUUUCGUUAUUAUAAACCCGUGUCACGUGAUGUCUCCCAUGUGGCGCGCGCGCUGUACCUAAAAUAAAAGAAAAACUUUCCAAACUAAACAUGAAACUUCUCCGGUAACAAUAAUAUAGACCCCAUACAGAAACAAACAAACAAACAAACAAACAAACCCCCCCCCCCCCAAUUCAAUUAAUUUUAAAGGGGGAAAGACCCCCUACAAUUGCUUUUUUAAAGCAAUUGAUUUAUAUUGUAAAAAACCUUUUUAACCAUUCUGUUCCGUUAAUAAAAAAAAAAAAAAAAAUCUCCCCGAGACCCCCUUUUGCCCCCCCCCUUUUUUUUUAACCCUCCACUUACAACUGAAUGUAGGUUGUGUGCUAUCUAUCCUAUCAACGUAAAACGAACGACAACUCCAGUUUUUUCCAUAUUAUUAGGUCUUUCCACUUUUCUGUGGAAAGCCUAUUGUAUUUGUUCUGAUUAUUAGGUCUUUCCACUUUUCUGUGGAAAGCCUAUUGUAUUUGUUCUGAUUAUUAUUAUUAUUUUUUUUUUUUUUCCGCCAAAUUUUGUUCUUGCGAUAAAUGUUUGUUUCGCAAUAUGUCGCUUAGAUUUUUUUCAUAUAUUGUAUCGUAUAGUUUAUGCGCUUUUAAAUUUCACCCUGCUAAGCCGAACCAUUUUCUUUGUAAGAGUUAUCUCCCUAUUCACUGUUUGUCAUGUGUGUGCAUCUCCUUCGUAACAAAAUAAGAAAGCGACAAAAUUCUUUUUACAAAUUGUUCGUUACAUCCUCAGGAAUUUUUGGCUAAUUUGGAUCGAAGCGAUUCGAUGAAAUUUUAUAGGAGUUAUGUACCUUUACGGAAUAAAUUUGUCGGUAUGUUUUUUU
rnacentral:lncRNA from 1 species